GAUGAAGAACGUAGCGAAAUGCGAUAAGUAAUGUGAAUUGCAGAAUUCAGUGAAUCAUCGAAUCUUUGAACGCACCUUGCGCCCUUUGGCCAUUCCGAAGGGCAUGCCUGUUUGAGUAUCAUGAACACCUCAACUCUUCAUGGUUUUCCGUGAUGAGCUUGGACUUUGGGGGUCUUGCUGGCCUAUGGUCAGCUCCUCUAAAAUAAAUCAGCUUGCCAGUGUUUGGUGGGUAUCACAGGUGUGAUAACUAUCUACGCUUGUGGUUUUUCCACCAGGUAACCUUCAGCAGUGGAGGUUCGCUGGAGCUCAUAGAUGUCUCUCCUCAGUGAGGACAGCCCUUUGAAUGUUUGAUCUCAAAUCAGGUAGGACUACCCGCUGAACUUAAGCAUAUCAAUAAGCGGAGGA
rnacentral:misc_RNA from 1 species